UACGUAGGGUGCAAGCGUUAAUCGGAAUUACUGGGCGUAAAGCGUGCGCAGGCGGUGAUGUAAGACAGUUGUGAAAUCCCCAGGCUUAACCUGGGAACUGCAUCCGAUACUGGAUGGCUUGAAUCCGGGAGAGGGAUGCAGAAUUCCAGGUGUAGCGGUGAAAUGCGUAGAUAUCUGGAGGAACACCGGUGGCGAAGGCGGCAUCCUGGACCGGCAUUGACGCUGAGGCGCGAAAGCUAGGGGAGCAAACGGG
rnacentral:rRNA from 1 species